GUAGUGACUCAGUGGUAAAAUAUCUGCUUGGAACGCAGAAUGUCCCAGGUUCAAUCCCAGAUAUCUCUA
rnacentral:tRNA from 1 species